GAUGAACGCUGGCGGCGUGCCUAAUACAUGCAAGUCGAGCGAACAGACGAGGAGCUUGCUCCUCUGACGUUAGCGGCGGACGGGUGAGUAACACGUGGAUAACCUACCUAUAAGACUGGGAUAACUUCGGGAAACCGGAGCUAAUACCGGAUAAUAUAUUGAACCGCAUGGUUCAAUAGUGAAAGACGGUUUUGCUGUCACUUAUAGAUGGAUCCGCGCCGCAUUAGCUAGUUGGUAAGGUAACGGCUUACCAAGGCAACGAUGCGUAGCCGACCUGAGAGGGUGAUCGGCCACACUGGAACUGAGACACGGUCCAGACUCCUACGGGAGGCAGCAGUAGGGAAUAUUCCGCAAUGGGCGAAAGCCUGACGGAGCAACGCCGCGUGAGUGAUGAAGGUCUUCGGAUCGUAAAGCUCUGUUAUUAGGGAAGAACAAAUGUGUAAGUAACUAUGCCCGUCUUGACGGUACCUACUCAGAAAGCCACGGCUAACUACGUG
rnacentral:rRNA from 1 species